GUAAUUAUUAUAAUUGUUCAGACGCUGAUUGCAAUUGCAAAGAGUUAUAAGGGGGUCCAACCGGCGGGCAAGCCCACCGAGGAAACAUGUAGUACGCAAAAGACACGGAUUCAGACAGGGGCUAUAGAAAUCUACAACCCCCCGACUGCCACAGAGUGGCAGAAAAGGUAAUGAUCCUUCCGCAGGUUCACCUACGGAAA
rnacentral:misc_RNA from 1 species